UUAAAAAAUAGCAAUUCAGAUCCAGCCAAAGGUGGACCCCACGCCCAUGGAAUUGGCGAAUCACGGAUCAGAGAGGAAACGCAUGAUUCUCUUCUAACUCAGUAAAGUAACAACAAUGUUAACCCUUUACUCUCUUUUUUCCUAUCAAACAAAACUUCACCCUUUAGAGGAGAUUGUCGGAUCUGGUGUCGGCGCUGCGGGAAGAGAACUGUCGGAGAGACCUUUGAAGGAGAGUGUCACUCUGGAAAUCGGUGGUGACGCGCCGCGGCUGUGCGGUUGAGAAUCUGGGCGUGCGUGGCUCAGCGACGAAGGAGGUCGAGGUGGCGGUGCUUGCGUCGAUGGUGGUUGUCGGUGGCGCCUGUGGUUUCGUGAAGUUCCGAUUGGAACAGUGUCGCGGUGAUUGUCUCUGCUGAGAAGGGGUGGUGGAGCGAUUCGACGUCGUCAAGAGUGAAUCUGCAAUCGUUCUCCUCCGCUCUCCUUUAUGCAACCUUCUCAUAUGAAUAGGUUGAGACCAAUCGCAAUCUCGCUCGAAUAAGUUUGUUGGAGGAUCGACGAAGGUGUGCGAUGAUGUUAUUUGUUGUUGCUGUACGUUGAGUGGUGGUUCCUGGUGGUGAUAAUGAUCCAAGACGGCGAGAGAAACCAAGUAUGUAUCAUGAAACAACAACAACAACAAACUUCCCUUUUUUUUGUUGGAUUAACGAAUCCUUGCGCUGCAAUUUGUUUGUUUAUCGAUGGGAAAGAAAAGUUAGUGAAGGUUAUGAAUUUUCACAGGGAUAUUUUUCCAAGUCAACUCUGUAUUGACCACAAAUAAUAUAAACAGGGUGUUGGCCUUUGUAAGAAA